rnacentral:rRNA from 1 species
GUAGCGCAGCAAACGUUGUUCGGAAUUACUGGGCGUAAAGAGUGUGUAGGCGGUUUUGUAAGUUUGGUGUGAAAUCUCCCGGCUUAACUGGGAGGGUGCGCCGAAAACUGCAAGGCUUGAGUGCUGGAGAGGAGAGCGGAAUUCCUGGUGUAGCGGUGAAAUGCGUAGAUAUCAGGAGGAACACCGGCGGUGUAGGCGGCUCUCUGGACAGUAACUGACGCUGAGACACGAAAGCGUGGGGAGCAAACAGGAUUAGAUACCCUGGUAGUCCACGCCCUAAACGAUGCAUACUUGGUGUGAGCCAUUCAUUUGGUUCGUGCCGGAGCUAACGCGUUAAGUAUGCCGCCUGGGGAGUACGGUCGCAAGGCUG